rnacentral:rRNA from 1 species
CCUACGGGAGGCAGCAGUGGGGAAUUUUGGACAAUGGGCGCAAGCCUGAUCCAGCAAUGCCGCGUGAGUGAAGAAGGCCUUCGGGUUGUAAAGCUCUUUUGUCAGGGAAGAAACGGUGGGGGCUAAUAUCUCCUACUAAUGACGGUACCUGAAGAAUAAGCACCGGCUAACUACGUGCCAGCAGCCGCGGUAAUACGUAGGGUGCAAGCGUUAAUCGGAAUUACUGGGCGUAAAGCGUGCGCAGGCGGUUUUGUAAGUCUGUCGUGAAAGCCCCGGGCUCAACCUGGGAAUUGCGAUGGAGACUGCAAGGCUUGAAUCUGGCAGAGGGGGGUAGAAUUCCACGUGUAGCAGUGAAAUGCGUAGAGAUGUGGAGGAACACCGAUGGCGAAGGCAGCCCCCUGGGUCAAGGUUGACGCUCAUGCACGAAAGCGUGGGGAGCAAACAGGAUUAGAUACCCUGGUAGUCCACGCCCUAAACGAUGUCUACUAGUUGUCGGGUUUUAAUUAACUUGGUAACGCAGCUAACGCGUGAAGUAGACCGCCUGGGGAGUACGGUCGCAAGAUUAAAACUCAAAUGAAUUGACGG